rnacentral:rRNA from 1 species
UGUGGCAAUCUCCUUUAUUGGAGUUUGACUGCGAGAACUUGCCUAAACCUUAUCACUUAGAGGAAGGUGAAGUCGUAACAAGGUUUCCGUAGGUGAACCUGCGGAAGGAUCAUUA